GGGAUUGCCUCAGUAACGGCGAGUGAAGCGGCAACAGCUCAAAUUUGAAAUCUGCCCCCUUUGGGGUCCGAGUUGUAAUUUGUAGAGAGUGCUUCGGGGGAGACCACGGUCUAAGUCCAUUGGAACAUGGCGUCAUAGAGGGUGAGAAUCCCGUAUGUGACUGUGGAUCGAGCCCAUGUGAAGCCUCUUCGACGAGUCGAGUUGUUUGGGAAUGCAGCUCAAAAUGGGUGGUAAAUUUCAUCUAAAGCUAAAUACUGGCUGGAGACCGAUAGCGCACAAGUAGAGUGAUCGAAAGAUGAAAAGCACUUUGGAAAGAGAGUUAAAAAGUACGUGAAAUUGUUGAAAGGGAAGCGCUUGCAACCAGACCUGUCCGUAGGCGAUCAGCCGCUGUUCUCAGUGGUGCACUCGCUCUGCGAUCAGGCCAGCAUCGGUUCGGGCGGCCGGAUAAAGGCCUUGGGAACGUAGCUUCCUUCGGGGAGUCUUAUAGCCCUCGGUGCAAUGCGGCCAGCCCGGACCGAGGACCGCGCUUCGGCUAGGAUGCUGGCGUAAUGGUUGUAAGCGACCCGUCUUGAAACACGGACCAAGGAGUCUAACAUCUAUGCGAGUGUUUGGGUGUCAAACCCAUGCGCGGAAUGAAAGUGAACGGAGGUGAGAACCCUUAAGGGCGCAUCAUCGACCGAUCCAGAUGUCUUCGGAUGGAUUUGAGUAUGAGCAUAGCUGUUGGGACCCGAAAGAUGGUGAACUAUGCCUGAAUAGGGUGAAGCCAGAGGAAACUCUGGUGGAGGCUCGCAGCGGUUCUGACGUGCAAAUCGAUCGUCAAAUUUGGGUAUAGGGCGAAAGACU
rnacentral:rRNA from 1 species